rnacentral:rRNA from 1 species
GACGUAGGUGGCGAGCGUUGUUCGGAAUCACUGGGCCUAAAGCGCACGUAGGCGGCCAUAUAAGUCGGGUGUGAAAGCCCUCGGCUCAACCGAGGAACUGCGCCCGAUACUGCAUGGCUUGAGGUCCGGAGGGGAGAGUGGAAUUCCCGGUGGAGCGGUGAAAUGCGUAGAGAUCGGGAGGAACACCAGUGGCGCAAGCGGCCGCCUGGCACUGACCUGACACUGAGCCACGACGGCGUGGGGAGCAAACAGG